rnacentral:rRNA from 1 species
CUACGGGAGGCAGCAGUGGGGAAUAUUGGACAAUGGGCGCAAGCCUGAUCCAGCCAUGCCCGCGUGUGUGAAGAAGGCCCUCGGGUUGUAAAGCACUUUCAGCGAGGAAGAACGCCUAGCGGUUAAUACCCGCUAGGAAAGACAUCACUCGCAGAAGAAGCACCGGCUAACUCCGUGCCAGCAGCCGCGGUAAUACGGAGGGUGCAAGCGUUAAUCGGAAUUACUGGGCGUAAAGCGCGCGUAGGUGGCUUGAUAAGCCGGUUGUGAAAGCCCCGGGCUCAACCUGGGAACGGCAUCCGGAACUGUCAAGCUAGAGUGCAGGAGAGGAAGGUAGAAUUCCCGGUGUAGCGGUGAAAUGCGUAGAGAUCGGGAGGAAUACCAGUGGCGAAGGCGGCCUUCUGGACUGACACUGACACUGAGGUGCGAAAGCGUGGGUAGCAAACAGGAUUAGAUACCCUGGUAGUCCACGCCGUAAACGAUGUCGACCAGCCGUUGGGUGCCUAGCGCACUUUGUGGCGAAGUUAACGCGAUAAGUCGACCGCCUGGGGAGUACGGCCGCAAG